rnacentral:rRNA from 1 species
UACGUAGGGCGCAAGCGUUGUCCGGAAUUAUUGGGCGUAAAGAGCUCGUAGGCGGCCUGUUGCGUCCGCUGUGAAAACCCGGGGCUUAACCCCGGGCUUGCAGUGGAUACGGGCAGGCUGGAGGCAGGCAGGGGAGAACGGAAUUCCCGGUGUAGCGGUGAAAUGCGCAGAUAUCAGGAGGAACACCGGUGGCGAAGGCGGGUCUCUGGGCCGACACUGACGCUGAGGAGCGAAAGCGUGGGGAGCGAACAGG